CCGUGGCCUCAGCGGGGACCGGCACCAACAACAUCGGCACAACCCGCUCCAUGGUGGCAGCGCUGCAGAAGCCGCCGGCGGCAGCACUUCCGGAUCACUUCGCCGCCAUCUUUGGUCCGGCAGUUAUUUGUCCCUGGGGUGGUGCAAGCAAUCCUUAGCAGCGUGGACCGGCCCGUCCUGAGUUGACCCGAAUGUUGAAAUGCGCAGGGGCACGGGGUAAGGGGCGGUGGCGUUGCCCUUUGCUCUCCGCAGGGAAGUGUGACCCAAGGUCGUGGGCAGAGAGGAGCAGAGGGGCGAGGAGCGGUGUGGAGAAGGCAUUUGGGAAAAGGGCCCUAAUAGCAGUGCCUUUCUCACCCGCGGUCAGUUUUUGAGUCCUAUGGUGGAGCAACCCCCUGGCUACUUUCCAUGAGACCAGAGGGAGUCUGAAAAGACUUCAGAGCUGUCCUCAAGACCUGAAGAAAUGAUUCAUUACCCUUCCCUCACCUCCAGCCAAUCAGUUGCCCUAUAUGAUCUGUAACCUACAGGCCAUCAAGGAUUUCCAGCUUUUGAGCAUUAGCUUCCCAUUCUCCUUGAUAAGGCCAUUCGUCCAUAAAUAGCCAAUAUGCCCUAGCUGGUUUGGCUCAAUGGAUAGAGUGUCAGCCUGAGGGGCCCCAGGUUUGAUUCCAGCCAAGGGCACAUGCCUGGGUU